rnacentral:lncRNA from 1 species
ACAGUCUCUCCUUCGCCAGCUCCCACACCGCUGCCCUCCACUUCGUCCCCGCCAUCGCCGCCCGACCGCCUGCUGCUGCUGCAGCUGCCGCCUUCCGCCCCGCUGCCGUCGCCCAGGCUCGCCCCCUCCUCCUCGUCCUCGGUGCUGUCGCUCAGGGACGCGCCGUCCUGCAUCAACUCCUUCCCCUCCAGCGCGUCCAGCUCCAGAUCCACAGUCGCCGGCCCUCGCCCAUUGAAAUGCCUCAAGGGCCACACCGAGGUCUCGGGGCGGCCGCGGCUACUGCCAUUGUUGCCGAGACCCCCGCCGCCGCCGCCUCGGAAGGCCAGAGUCCGACGGUUCCUUUCCGCUAGCAGGGGGCCCCCCGCGCCACCGCCAAGCGAGGUGGGGCCGCCCGCGUCUUGGGGGAGCAGCAACUCCUUGGCUUCCUCGGCGGCGCCGGCGGCCGGCCCGGCGGAGGCCUCCAGGUCUUGGGGCUCCAGGCCCUCCAAUUCCACUUCCUCGUCGGCCCCCCGCCCAUUAGGCGGCUGAAGCGCGGGCGGCGCUGGCGGCGGGGGCUGUCUCGGCUGGGGCUGCGGAGGCCAAGCUGAGGCCUCCCCGCCAGCGUUAUUGUUCGUGGAGCCGCCGCCGCUAGCGGUGACCAACCCGCCUCCUCGGAACGCCAGCGUCCUGCGGUUCAUUUCACUGAACGACAUGGCGCGCGCCGCCGCCGCCGCCGCCCGGUGCCCCGGCUCGCGCACGGCCUCGGGCCGCGUCCCGCGCGCUCCCCGCGGCUCCCCCUCUGUCUCGCCCCCGCCCCCGGCGUUCCGGUCUCGCGGGGCUCGGCCUCGCCCUCUCGCCCGGCAGCCCGGCUCGCGCUCGCUCCCGGGUCUGCUGCACGCGUCCGCUGCCGCUGCCGCUGCCGGGCCGACGCCUCCGACCGCUCUCUCGUCCUCCACCCCCGCCCCGCCGCGCUCCGGGCAGCGUCCCGCGCGGAGAAGGGGGCGGGCGGCGGAGAGGUGAGGAGCGAGCCUGCAGCGAGCGAGGCCUUCGAAGUUGAGCAGCGGAGUGCGGGGAGACCCUCCGCUGCCCCCUCUUUAAAGCCGCGCGCGCACACACCGAUCCUCCACACAGAUAUCCUUCCUCCGCGCGCCGAGGAGUCCCGACGCCGCCGCCGGCUUCGCAGGCGCUGAGGGUGAGAGGCACGCUAAACUGCUCGGCUCCGCCACAUAACGAAGCGACAAUAAAGCCGGCGGAGCGUUUCCGUCCGACCAGGCCCUGGCGGAGGUCGAAUGGCAAAUGAACAACGGACCGUGCGCCCACAAUGCACCGGGACUGGACCAGGCGGUGCCUUUCACGCGAAGAGGUUACGACCACGGACACAACCUCCUUUGAUGCAUUGUGCGAGGCAGCACCUCGGGCCCCGGACAGUAGUCAUUUCACAGAAAAUGCACCGCCCCGAGUGUCUUAUUGCUGUGAUGAAAUGGAAAUUUAAAUAAAAGGUCGAACACGUGCGUUCACUGGGAAGUAUUGACAUGGGUGUUACAUCACCAGCAGCCAAUCAGAUAACUCCAGUCGUGUUUAUACUUCUACAACCACCUUGUGAGUAUUACAGUAUGUCAUAACGUUAUAAAUAUUAGGCAGGGUUUUCCCCAGGAGCGGGGAGGAGUCUGCUUCUACGGACGUUGUGAGCGGCUCCGAAGAUUGUGUGUUUAAAGUCAACAAUUCAUUUUUAAGACUUUUUUCGAACUGUUUACAUUACAUGGACUUUAGAUUGAUUCUGACAGAAUGAACUGGAAAUGAAAUCCCACAGUUAUGAUCGUAGUAGAGUUUUUUUUUCCAAUUUAGGGCCCUUAUACUCCUUUUAAAAAUUUUUAAUAUGCUAAAUUUAGCAAAUACUAAAGUGUUAAGACUCAUCUGACAAUGUGAGAAUUUAAGCCUAUUUCAGGUUAAGAAAAAAAAGAUGUUUUCAAGUUAUGGAGGGGCUUUUUACUCUUAAGCGACAUAUGUAUUAGAAGUUGAAUCACGAACUGAUAAAAUGCUCCAGAUAAUUGUUGACUAAAAAAAAUACGGCAGGACAAAUUUUUUACAUUAAUACAUAUGUGCAGAAAAUGAGAAAUAUACAUGAACUCUUUACAGUUAUAGAUUAAUGGGAAGGGUUAUGUUAAAGGCUUGAACCUCCUAAAUAAUGUAUUAAUGUAAAUAAAGUUAUAUAUGUUUUAUGAAGAACAGGUGUUACAAUUUUUAGACCUAGUUUUAUGAUUCUUAUUCUCUUCAAAAGUUCUUUUUCUAUUUCAAAACUAAGAGCAAUAUGUAAAGCUUUGUAUAAUAUGGAAUAUGGUAUGUAUUUCAAGGUUACUUUAAAAAGCAAGCUUUGGCUGGUCCCAAGGUAGUGAAUUGUCUCAAUUGGUUAUUCACAGUUGGUUGCCCGUUGUACCACUCUUUCCCCACUUCCACUUGACUAGUCUUUUAAAAAUAAAUAAAUAUUUAAAUAAACAAGUCUUCUCAAACAUUAUAAAAGACCGUUUUUCUUAAUAUUUUUUAAAUGGACUAACAUGAAUCCACAUCCAGACUCAUAUUAAUUGUAUACAUUUAUUCAAAGCAACAUUCACUUCAUUCAUUGUAAUUUUUAGUACCUGUUGAUGAGCAGUGUUGUAUAUCAAACAAAAAACAUUGGUUUUAUCUUGUAGAUUACAUGUAAUUUUAAUGUAAAGAAUGACAGUACUACCCUGCCACAAAAGGAUUUUGGCUUUGAGUUAUUUUUCCGGUAAUAAACAUAUUGUCACCUGGCCACCAGUGACCAAGAGCUUGAAAUUCUGAUAUAGUUCUUCAGGUGGGUACAGUUGUAGGGUGUUUUUGUUUGUUUGUUUGUUUGUUUUGUCCUGCUUUGUUUUAGUUGCUGGGAAGCUUAAGACAGUGGAGUCUGAUCUUGACCUAAUUCGUACCCUUAAGAAAUAAGAGAACUCUGCCAAGUGAGGCUGUAUAAUAUGUGCCACAUAUGGAAGAAUGCCAUAAUAAUACUUGUGCUCUGUUUUUAAUGCGUGUUUUUUUUUCAUUCUAGGCAUUUUGAAAAUAAAUACAUUUAUUAUAUGUUAAUCACCACAGCCUCCACCCCCAUAAAAAGAGGGAAGAGUUACUGAAGUUAAUUACUUAUCUAGGAUCAAGGUGAUGGGAAAUGAAAAUGGACUUAAAAAUUUUUAUUUUGCUGGGCACGGUGGCUCACGCCUGUAAUCCCAGCACUUUGGGGGCCGAGACGGGCGGAUCAUGAGGUCUGGAGUUCAAGACCAGCCUGACCAACAUGGUGAAACCCCGUCUCUACUAAAAAUUCAAAAAAUUAGCCAGGUGUGGUGGCGCUCGCCUAUAAUCCCAGCUACUCAGGAGGCUGAGGUAGAAGAAUCACUUGAACCAGAGAGGCGGAGGUUGCAGUGAGCUGAGAUCAUGCCAUUGCACUCCAGCCUGGGCGACAGAGCGAGAUUCCAUCUGAAAAAAAAAAAAAUUUUAUUUCAGCUCUAAAGCUUGUUUUCAUUCAAAAACUGUUAAAUUCAAAUAUUUGCUACUUCUUAUCUCGUAUCCUACUACAUAGUAGGCACUAUAUAAAUUUAUGUAUUAUUUUUGCUAAUAGUGCCAGAAUCAACCAAAAACGUUUAAAUCCAUAAUUGUGUCAGACCUGCCUUUUUCUCAGACAUAUAUCUUACCUUAUGUUUUAUAAAAUCCUCAUUGUCUUCUAUCUGAAGUUAUGUUUAAACAUGGACUAAUUAGGAAUGAAUGACACUAGAGUCAAGUGGUACAAAUAAAUGACUUAAAUUCUAGGACCACUGAACUAACAGUAUCAGGGUGAUGUGUGUGUGUUUG